GCACUCACCAGGCUCCUAAAAAGUGAGCCCAGCCCUUUGAAGUAGGGAGGGCUGGCUGCCAGAGCUUGUACCCGGCCAGGUUUCCUUUCUGCUCUCUUCCUGGCCAGCCACCUCCUCCUGAGGGGUCUGUCUCCUUUAACCCAAGCACAGCACUCCAUCUUCCUCUGUCCUCUCUAGCACAGUGGAGCACAGAGGAUCCCAGCUGGAAAUUUCCAUUGUUUUGGUGAUCUCUUGCUGAGUGACAAAUCACCUUAAAAUUAGUGGCUUAAGAUGCUGAUGCUUUAUUACAUCUCACGGGUUCAGUGGGUCAGGAAGUUGAGAACAGCUUGCCUGGUGGCUCUGGCUCUGGAUUUUUCAUGUGGUUGCCCUGGGACAGGGGCCGUGGCUGGAAGGACCCACAUUUUCCCCCAUGACUGACAUCAGGAAAGCUCCUCGACUUAGAAAGAUCUGUUGUCAUCAUAGGCAUUCGGACUGACUCUGUGGCCUCCCCCACUGGCCAGCCAGGGGGUGGUGGUCCAGCCGGGAUGCAGCUUCAUCCCAGGGCCCCACAGAGGCUGCUGAGUCUCCUGUCUGAGCAGGGACAGGAAGCUCUCAUUCCGCUGUCCUUCUGACAGCUCCCCCAUGGACCCUGCAGAGGUCCAGCCUUUGUUUUUCCACCCGGCUGUGACUGUGACCUUCCCAUCCUGCCUGGGCUUGGCUGCCCGCAGGCCCUGCAGCCUGUUAAGUUGCCCCAACCUCUUUUUUGGACUGCAAGGCACCUUGGACUUUGCUUCGUGGUUGGAGGUCUACCUCCUGAUGCUCAUAUCCAGACUCCUGGCUGUUACUUCCUGUGUGCAUUUGGGAGCUUUGUCACUUCCCUCAGCCCUGUUCCUCUGGGUGCAGGGGCUUCGGACAGGCUCUGACAGGCCUCUGUUCUCAGGGAGCGGGUCGUGCUGACUGUGCCCGUGGCCUGUGCCAGGACUCCAAGCAGACAAGCCUUCCCUUCCACGCUUCACUCCCAGAGGCCAUGACGGUUCCCACCAGGCUCGCUUCCGGGGUUCUGGCCUUGGACUUGGCGCAGGGAGGGAGGAGCAGCUUGUUUCCAAUUAAGCUGCAUUUGCUUUGUCGACUGAAUCCAAUUCCCCUUCAGUCCCUCAGUCUAGGAACUAUCCUUUAUUAAACUUGGGCCUGAACUGCAGCUGCAGCAAAAUCAGGAGCCGUCCCCCAGGUACCAGGAGGCCCUGUGUUCCUGGAGGUUUUCCUCUUGCAGCUUCUUCAGGCCUGCUUGCAAACCUAAGAAACCUCAGAUGAGGAAGCAGCCUGCUAAUGACUUUCUUCCAGUCCACCUGCGCAGAUGCUCGGAAGGACCAGAAUAACCCAUCAGUGAACUUUGGAUGUCACAGGCUAAAAAUCCACAUGUAACGCACAGAACCCUCCUCAAUGCGUACUGUGUCCCAUGAAGAGAUAGGAAAAACAGUCAUGCCCGCACAGAGGACUCUUGAAACUUCCCUUUACUCGUCCAAGAGGCAGUGCUUAGCUCCGACUCCCUCCUAUUCCCUACUCUCACGAUAAAUACCCUGCUCAAAAAGCUGAUGGGAGAGACAGAGCUGAGCUUUGCGUCCUGUCUCCUUGCUUGGCCUCCCUGUAAUAAAGGCUUUCAUCUCUACAAAAGACUGUUGUUUUGGUGUUUGGUCUUUCUGUUACGAGCCCACUUCCUCAAUUACAAGUGGGCCAGUGGGCGUGUGAACCCUGAUUCCAGGCCUGACCCUUAGCUCUGGACAGAUGGGGGCCUCUUGUCAGCAGUGCCUGGGAGGUACCUCUGUGGGGUGGGCACAGGUGGUGGUUUGCCCCUCUGCUUGUGUGGCUGGCAAGUCUGCAGGGCCCCCUUUCCUGGGGAGGGGGUGGGAGUGGGCACCUUCCAUCUUCCCUCAGACUGCUUGACUGAGGAAGGCCAGAUAUAUACAGCUCACAGGACAUCUUGACUCAGUGUCAAGGGGGACAUUGAGCCACUCCCACAUUCCUGACCCACAAUAUCACAAGAAAAUAAAGGUUUGUUGUUUUAAACUACUAAUUUUCUAAAAAGUUUUUGUUUUGUGUUAUUUCAUUGUACAGUAAUAGAUAACUAACACAGUGUUUGUACCAAGUUCUAGUCUGGCAAGCGGUGUGUGAGGAUUCUCAUUGCACUGUGUCCUUGGUAACACUUGGGAUUGUCAGAAUGUUUAAUUUUGUCCAUCUGUUGGGUAAUGCUACUCAUUUCACUGUGGCUCUGUUAUUAGAUUCAUAUAGUUAGGAUCAUUAUGUCUUCUUGAUUAAUUGGCCUUUUCACCAUUAUGAAGUGUCUCU
ensembl:lncRNA